AGUGAACGCUGGCGGCAGGCCUAACACAUGCAAGUCGAGCGGCUGCAGAGUACUUGCUCCUGGAUUCGGCGGCGGAGUGGUGGAUGAGUCAUAGGAAUCUCCCUGUUUGCUGUUUAGUGCGUCCUAACGCAGGCGCUAAUACGCCAUAAGUCCAUAGGGCGUACGGGUGGAAUCUUCGGACCUUCGGCCAUCGGGCGAGCCGAUGUCGGAUUAGCUAGUUGGUGGGGUAAAGGCGUACCAAGGCGACGAUCCGUAACUGGUCUGAGAGGAUGAUCAGUCACACUGGAACUGAGACACGGUCCAGACUCCUACGGGAGGCAGCAGUGGGGAAUAUUGGACAAUGGGCGCAAGCCUGAUCCAGCCAUGCCGCGUGUGUGAAGAAGGUCUUCGGAUUGUAAAGCCCUUUUGGUUGGGAGGAAGGGCAGUAAGUUAAUACCCCGCUGUUUUGACGGUACCAAAAGAAUAAGCACCGGCUAACUUCGUG
rnacentral:rRNA from 1 species